UCCUUCGGGAACAACAUCUCUAUCCCCCUGCAUUUUAGCUUCAAAGCUCACCACACAUACAAAUGGGAUACAUAGCUCUUCAAACUUUUCAAAUAAUAACCAUCACGGAGCAAUUUUUCUUCCAUGAACUCUAAAAAUGAAACCUUCAUGCUUUGUUUCUUCAGAGGUAUUAAGAUUGAGGGAUAAGAGUGUGCACUGCUUUGUUUUGGCUUUUUUUAAAGCUUGCUGGAAAAAUCACACAACUUACUUGUUUUACCUAGAAAUUUUCUGAGUUUUUAAAAAGAACAUUCUCAAUUGCAAAACCAUCUCUAUGAAGACAGCAGUGUUCAGUUUUCCCUUCCAUAAGGUGGGGAAGCCCCUCCUGUUCCUAGACCUGAUGCCCUCCAUCUGGGUGGGGCUCACCUGAGAAAGGGCGCAAGUGUCCAAACACCAAGUCCUGAGGCAAAACUGAAGCACAGGACUCAGGGGCUCCCCAGGCAGAACUUUCUAGAUGGUUCUUAAUACUCCUGGUCAAGAUGGUUAGCAUUUGACUUCUUAUCCAAUAGUAAGUAAAUGCUCAGUCAUUAGGGAGACAAUUUUCAAAAUGUAAUAUGAAUACUCUGCAGGACUCAUGUCAACAUUUAAACAGGAUGACACCGUAGAGGGGAACUUGCCUACACCUGAUCUGGUUUGGCUGUGUCCCCACCCAAAUCUCUUCUUGAAUUGUAGCUUCCAUAAUCCCCACGUGUCACAGGGGAGACCCUGUGAGAGGUAACUGAACCACGGGGGCAGACCUUUCCCAUGCUGUUCUCGUGACAGUGACUAAGUCUCACGAGCUAUGGCGGUUUUAUAAAGGGGAGUCCCUACACAAACUCUCUGGCCUGCUGCCAUGUAAGACGUGACUUUGCUGCUCAUUCACCUUCCGCCAUGAUUGUGAGGCCUCCCCAGCCAUGUGGAACGAUAAGUCAAUUAAACCUCUUUCCUUGAUAAGUUACCCUGUCUCAGGUAUGUCUUUAUUAGCAGUGUGAGAACAGACUAAUACAGCACCCCAUUUUCAGGGAAUUUCAAAUAUCCUAUCCAGAACUCUGCAGCCAGCACAGGGGCAAGAACGCAGUUCCUGACUCACUCCCAGUAUGGGGGCUUCCAACCCUGCCAGGCAAACUGUUCCUGCAAGGAAGAUGACCACCCCCUCAGAAUACUGGAAAAUGGGAAAUAGAAAAAGACAAAAAAUAGAAAUAGAUCCAAAUUAAACAGACCAUGAUGAUGAUAGUUAUGUAUUGAAUACCAUCCAUGUGUCAGGCACGGGGAUGGGGAUUUAUACACAUUAAAUAAUGGAAUCAUGUCAGGAGUGGUGGCUCACUCCUGUAAUCCCAGCACGUUGGGACACUGAGACGGGAGGAUCCCCUGAGGCCAGGAGUUCAAAACCAGCCUGGGCAACAUAGUGAGACCCCAUCUCUACAAGAAAAUAAAAACGAUCAGCCAGGCAUGGUGAUGUGUGCCUGUAGUCCCAGCUACUCAGAAGGCUGAGAUGAGAGGAUCCCUUGAGCCCAGGAGUUGGAGGCUGCAGUGAACUGCGAAGCUGUGAUUGCACCACUGCACUCUAGCCUGGGUAACAGAACAGGACCCUGUCUCAAAAAAAAAAAAAAAAAAA
rnacentral:lncRNA from 1 species